rnacentral:rRNA from 1 species
CUUGUCCCCGAGGCUGUGGUCUUGGGGAUGAAAGGCGACCUCUUCAUGAAAGUUGCCGUUCGAGGAGGGGCUCGCGUACCAUUAGCUUGUUGGUAGGGUAAUGGCCUACCAAGGCUGCGAUGGUUAGCUGGUCUGAGAGGAUGAUCAGCCACACUGGAACUGAAACACGGUCCAGACUCCUACGGGAGGCAGCAGUGAGGAAUUUUGCGCAAUGGGGGAAACCCUGACGCAGCAACGCCGCGUGAGUGAAGAAGGCUCUCGGGUCGUAAAGCUCUGUUAAGUGGGAAAAAAUACUCCCAAUCAAUAGUUGGGGGGACUGAUGGUACCACUAGAGGAAGCACCGGCUAACUCCGUGCCAGCAGCCGCGGUAAUACGGAGGGUGCAAGCGUUGUUCGGAAUUACUGGGCGUAAAGCGCGUGUAGGCUGUUUGGCAAGUCAGAUGUGAAAGCCCUGGGCUUAACCCAGGAAGUGCAUUUGAAACUGCUUUACUAGAGUAUGGGAGAGGAGAGUGGAAUUCCCAGUGUAGAGGUGAAAUUCGUAGAUAUUGGGAGGAACACCCGUGGCGAAGGCGACUCUCUGGACCAAUACUGACGCUGAGACGCGAAAGCGUGGGGAGCAAACAGGGUUAGAUACCCUGGUAGUCCACGCCGUAAACGAUGAGAACUAGGUGUAGCGGGUAUUGACCCCUGCUGUGCCGGAGCUAACGCAUUAAGUUCUCCGCCUGGGGAGUACGGCCGCAAGGCUAAAACUCGAAGGAAUUGACGGGGGCCCGCACAAGCGGUGGAGCAUGUGGUUUAAUUCGACGCAACGCGAAGAACCUUACCUGGGUUUGACAUCCUCUGACACCCCCGGAAACGGGGUCUUUCCUGCUUGCAGGAACAGAGUGACAGGUGCUGCAUGGCUGUCGUCAGCUCGUGUCGUGGAUGUUGGGUUAAGUCCCGCAACGAGCGCAACCCCUGUCUUUAGUUGCCGGUAUUCGGUUAGGCACUCUAGAGAUACUGCCUCGGUUAACGAGGAGGAAGGUGGGGAUGACGUCAAGUCCUCAUGGCCUUUAUAUCCAGGGCUACACACGUGCUACAAUGGGCGGUACAAAGGGUUGCUACUUCGCAAGGAGACGCUAAUCCCAAAAAGCCGUUCUCAGUUCGGAUCGGAGUCUGCAACUCGACUCCGUGAAGGUGGAAUCGCUAGUAAUCGUGGAUCAGCAUGCCACGGUGAAUACGUUCCCGGGCCUUGUACACACCGCCCGUCACACCACGAAAGUUGGCUGUACCAGAAGUUGCUGGGCUAACCCCUUUGGGGAUGCAGGUACCUAAGGUACGGCUGGUAAUUGGGGUGAAGUCGAAACAAGGUA